AAACAGUAGAAACUUCCACCCCGGUAUGCAGCCACUUGGUUUCGUCUCACCAAAGGGCCAGCGGACCAGAAGCUAAUGGAGCUGAUAACGCAGCUGUCAGCUGUCUAUGCAAGCAGCCAACACACUUCAAACCCCACAUCUUUAACUUUGAAGACGAGCGGCCCGUUUCCUUUU